CCUACGGGCGGCAGCAGUGGGGAAUAUUGGGCAAUGGGCGCAAGCCUGACCCAGCAACGCCGCGUGAAGGAAGAAGGCUUUCGGGUUGUAAACUUCUUUUCUCAGGGACGAAGCAAGUGACGGUACCUGAGGAAUAAGCCACUGCUAACUGCGUGCCAGCAGCCGCGGUAAUACGUAGGUGGCAAGCUUUAUCCGGAUUUACUGGGUGUAAAGGGCGUGUAGGCGGGAAAGCAAGUCAGAUGUGAAAACCAUGGGCUCAACCUGGGGCCUGCAUUUGAAACUGUUUGUCUUGAGUACUGGGGAGGCAGACGGAAUUCCUAGUGUAGCGGUGAAAUGCGUAGAUAUUAGGAGGAACACCAGUGGCGAAGGCGGGCUGCUGGACAGCAACUGACGCUGAGGCGCGAAAGCGUGGGGAGCAAACAGGAUUAGAUACCCGAGUAGUC
rnacentral:rRNA from 1 species